rnacentral:snRNA from 1 species
GGAUGUGAGGGCGAUCUGGCUGCGACAUCUGUCAUCCCAUUGAUCGCCAGGGUUGAUUCAGCUGAUCUGGCUGGCUAGGCGGGUGUCCCCUUCCUUCCUCACCACUCCAUGUGUGUCCCUCCCGAAGCUGCGCUCGGUUGAAGAGGACGGCCUUCCCCGAAUAGAGACAGACCGGUCUUCGGUUGAGGGUAUACGAGUAGCUGCACUCCCCUGCUAGAACCUCCAAACAAUUAUACCCCUUACAAUUUUCUAAAUCAAUAUUAAGUCACUAGUAAAAAAUAAAACAGCAGCAACAACAAAAGAAAUUGUGU